rnacentral:lncRNA from 1 species
GAAAAUUCCUGGAGCCUCCAUCCUCAAGCUUUCCCACGGACAGCUGGCAUUGGCAUCUUCUUGGAUUUUGCUGGAAUGAAGUCAUUUGACUCUUCCUUAGACAAAGGUGGGUCAGAACCUGCAUUAUAACAACAUCUUCAGGUGAUGCACGUUCGGGAUGGAGAAGCAUUGCUUUGGGAAAGCCAGGUGUUGCCUGAGGGAAAAGCUGGUACUGCUUUCAGGGCAGUUAACAUUGCUAUCAGCGUGUUCUCUUCAUCACCUGCUGGAGUACUUUCACCCACCAGGAAUCUUUGCUACAGUUUCCCUCCUGCCAGCUGGGAAUGGUCAGCCCCUCAUUCUGGGUUGGGAUCUUUGUCACUACUCCUUAAAAUCACCCCCUCUUGGGGCUGGCCCCGUGGCCGAGUGGUUAAGUUCGUGCGCUCCGCUGCAGGCGGCCCAGUGUUUCGUCGGUUCGAAUCCUGGGCGCGGACAUGGCACUGCUCGUCAGACCACGCUGAGGCAGCGUCCCACAUGCCACAACUAGAGGAACCCACAACGAAGAAUACACAACUAUGUACCGGGGGGCUUUGGGGAGAAAAAGGAAAAAAUAAAAUCUUAAAAAAAAAAAAAAUCACCCCCUCUUGUUCCUCAGUAAUUCUCCUAAUAAAUAUAUUUUUUGUUUUUGUUUUUUUUAAUAUAUCCUCUUACCUUCUCUUUUUAGGCUAUGUAUCAUAUAAUCUCUUGGGAAAGUUUUCUUUUACUGACUCAG